rnacentral:rRNA from 1 species
AGUGAACGCUGGCGGUAGGCCUAACACAUGCAAGUCGAACGGCAGCACAGUAAGAGCUUGCCCUUACGGGUGGCGAGUGGCGGACGGGUGAGGAAUACAUCGCAAUCUACUUUUUCGUGGGGGAUAACGUAGGGAAACUUACGCUAAUACCGCAUACGACCAACGGGGGAAAGCAGGGGAUCUUCGGACCUUGCGCGAAUGAAUGAGCCGAUGCCGGAUUAGCUAGUUGGCGGGGUAAAGGCCCACCAAGGCGACGAUCCGUAGCUGGUCUGAGAGGAUGAUCAGCCACACUGGAACUGAGACACGGUCCAGACUCCUACGGGAGGCAGCAGUGGGGAAUCUUGGACAAUGGGCGCAAGCCUGAUCCAGCCAUGCCGCGUGGGUGAAGAAGGCCUUCGGGUUGUAAAGCCCUUUUGUUGGGAAAGAAAAGCAGCAGGUUAAUACCCCGCUGUUCUGACGGUACCCAAAGAAUAAGCACCGGCUAACUUCGUG